UGACAAAUAUUACAGUAUAAAUCAGAUAUGAUAUGUUUGGCUUUCGAAGCAAACCACGGGAGCAUACGCACGCGCGCGCGCCCACACACACACACACACACACACACACACACGUGCAGCAUAUCUGCGUUGGAACCAUCAGCUUAAGCUCGAGCUCUUUCGCUCGGCUGAUAGUAAAGACACACUCACUUUCUCCAAUACACACACUUUCUCCGACACACACUUUCUCUAACACACACACAAACCCACACACACUGGUGUGACUGGUGAGCGCGCGCAGGUCUCGGCACUUCACCAUGGAUCCCGUCUCGUGCGCUACCGCCGCGGCCACUGAGAGCUCCGACAAGCCGCGCGCGCUGAAGGCUCCGCGCCUCGCGCUGCUCGUCCCCGCCGCCUGUCUCGCGCUGGCCGCGGGCGCUGUGGCGCUCAGCCUCCUGCAGAGCUUCAAAGCGCGCGAGAUGGAGAGCAGGCUGCUCGCGCUGGAGACGGAGAGCGCAGCGUGGGCACGCACACGGGAGAGCACCGCGCGAGACCCCCGAGUACCCGCUCACGAGGACCGGGGGGUCCCGGGACAGGAGGCGCUGACAGAGGAGCUGCGCGAGUUGGUGGAAACAAUUGUGCAAGAAAGGCUGAGUGAAGUGAUGCCGAAAGUGCGGAUUGCGAGAGACGUGACCCAGGACUGCAACUGCCCCCCAGGUCCUCCAGGAAAGCGUGGCCGGAUGGGCAGAAGAGGAGAUCCUGGUGAGUUUAGAAUUCUCUCACUGCUCUGUUGAUUCACUGAUCAUAUCUCUGGCUUUUUGAUGAUGAGUA
rnacentral:lncRNA from 1 species